UGAUGGCUCACAGCGUGAAGGUCGACUGGGCGUGGCUUGAGGAGAUGCUGACCUGGUACCUGAGGGUCAAUGGAAAGAAGACUCAUGAGAUCAUAGUAGGGGCCUUCUUGGACUUGCUUUUAAGCCUCGCGCCAUCUCCUUUCUCUUCUUCCUGUUCGUCCUGCACCUUUGGGAUCGAGGAGGAGGAGAGCGUGUAAGGUGACAUACCUUGUUCGUGUUACAGUCACUGUGUACCCGUAGCCAACCAACGAAGGUACGCAUGAACACGAGUUGCCAACAGCAAGGCCAUGGGUGCUGCCGUUUUUGUCUUGGCAAAAGGGAAAUGUGAAUUCCUUUGUUGCCAAUAC
rnacentral:lncRNA from 1 species